UACGGAGGGGGCUAGCGUUGUUCGGAAUUACUGGGCGUAAAGCGCGUGUAGGCGGGAAGAUAAGUCGGGUGUGAAAUCCCUGGGCUCAACCUAGGAACUGCAUUCGAAACUGUCUUUCUGGAGUGAUGGAGAGGAAAGCGGAAUUCCCGGUGUAGAGGUGAAAUUCGUAGAUAUCGGGAGGAACACCAGUGGCGAAGGCGGCUUUCCAGAAUGCGCUCGACGGUGAGGGAUGAAAGCUGGGGGAGCAAACCGG
rnacentral:rRNA from 1 species